AAGGACUAAAUCGGGGAAAAAAAAAGAUAAAAGACUAAAACGUUACUUGAAAUUAAAUUAAGGGACCGUAGAUGUAAUUUAGCCAAAUAAUUACUAUUUUCAUUAUGUUUUUGAUAUAGACAAUGACUUAAUAUAUUACAUCAUAAACUACAUUCAAACAAGGUUUCGCCGUUAUGAUUCCAUUCUACAGCAAGAGCCCAACACACAAUUAAUAUAUAUACAUAUAACACAUACACAAAUAUGAGUUAGACCGAAAUUUAUAUAUUAUUUGUUUUGUGGAUGAAAUCCACACGAUGAUAUAUUGGAUUUUACUAAUUCAUUGGUCCUACAAUUUAUACGAAUAGUUCAUGGAGAUUUAUAGAACUUCCCUUUUGCAUAAAUAAAUUUGUUAGUGUAACUUUUCCUACCCUACAAACAUAAGAUGUCUUGGACAUGUAGCAUUAGAGUUGUAAAGAGUCUAGUUGAAUUGGACACUUGUGUAAAAUUAGAAAUUUCCGUUUGACUCAUUUAUAUAAACGAG
rnacentral:lncRNA from 1 species